rnacentral:lncRNA from 1 species
GCGCCGGCGGCUGGAGAAAGAGGGGGCGCUGGCCGAGGUCCUGCCCCGGGGGUCCCUGUUCGGCACCAGGCCCCGGACGGUUCCCCUGCAUCUGUUCCUGUUCACCGACCUGCUGCUCAUCACCCAGCGCAAGAGCGCGGGGCGCUUCGUGGUGCUGGACUACGGGCACCGGUCGCUGGUCACGGUGCAGGGGGUGGGGCAGCCCCCCCCGGCCCCCGGGCUGGGCCAGGCCUUUUACCUCACCCUGCUGGAGAACCACCGGGGCCAGGCCUGCGAGCGGCUCUGCCGGGCCCCCAGCCAGUCGGACAUGCACCGAUGGAUGGAGGCCUUUCCCCAGCCCGGCGCCCCCCCCAGCCAGCCCCAGGAGACCAUCUACGAGGACUGGGACUGCCCCCAGGCGCAGUGCGUGGAGCCCUACGUGGCCAGCCAGGCCGAUGAGCUGAGCCUGGAGCCGCCCGACGUGGUCAACGUGCUGCGCAAGACGAGUGAGGGUGAGCGCCGGGGAGGGGGGGAGGGGGGNGUGCAGCCCCCCCAGAGCCCAGGCAGGGAGCCCCAGUGCCGCCCCCUGGUGGAUGGAGUUGGAUCAGACCCAGCCACGUGCCCCAUGCUUUGCCCCCCUGAACCUGCCCCACGUAUUGGGGUCCCCCCUG